rnacentral:ribozyme from 1 species
UGCCCAGCAACUCCUAUCCCUACCCUCCUCGUGGUACUGGCCGGGGUACGAAUAAUCUUGGGGAAGA